AUUGACCGCUGGCGGCAGGCCUAACACAUGCAAGUCGAGCGAGCGGCGGGCGGGUGAGUCCUGCCUGGGAAUUGCCCAGUCGAGGGGGAUAACAGUUGAAAACGACUGAUAAUACCUCAUCCUCUUGGGUUGCCGAGGUGGGGUUUGCUAGUUGGUGGGGUAAUGGCUCACCAAGGCGACGAUCCCUCGCUGGUCUGAGAGGAUGAUCAGCAACACUGGAACUGAGACACGGUCCAGACUCCUACGGGAGGCAGCAGUGGGGAAUAUUGCACAAUGGGGGAAACCCUGAUGCAGCCAUGCCGCGGGUGUGAAGAAGGCCUUCGGGUUGUAAAGCACUUUCAGCGAGGAGGCGUUACUCGCAGAAGAAGCACCGGCUAACUCCGUGCCAGCAGCCGCGGUAAUUC
rnacentral:rRNA from 1 species